rnacentral:rRNA from 1 species
UCCUUAGAUGUUCUGGGCCGCACGCGCGCUACACUGAUUCAUGCAACAAGUUUUGUCCUUGGCUGAUAGGCCUGGGUAAUCUUUGAACGUGAAUCGUGAUGGGGAUAGAUGAUUGCAAUUAUUCAUCUUCAACGAGGAAUUCCUAGUAAACGCAAGUCAUCAGCUUGCAUUGAUUACGUCCCUGCCCUUUGUACACACCGCCCGUCGCACCUACCGAUUGAAUGGUCCGGUGAAAUCUUCGGAUCUGAGAGAUGUCUGAUUAAUUUCGGACGCCUUUUGGAAAAGUUGUUUAAACCUUACCAUUUAGAGGAAGGUGAAGUCGUAACA